GAUGAACGCUAGCGGCAGGCCUAAUACAUGCAGGUCGGACGGGAUUCAGGAGCUUGCUUCUGAUGAGAGUGGCGCACGGGUGCGUAACACGUAUGUAACCUACCUUUAUCAGGGGGAUAGCCUCUCGAAAGAGAGAUUAAGCCCGCAUAAAAUCACAGCACAGCAUUGUGUAAUGAUCAAAUAUUUAUAGGAUAAAGAUGGGCAUGCGGAACAUUAGCUAGAUGGCGGGGUAACGGCCCACCAUGGCGACGAUGUUUAGGGGAUCUGAGAGGAUGGCCCCCCAAACUGGUACUGAGACACGGACCAGACUCCUACGGGAGGAAGCAGUAAGGAAUAUUGGUCAAUGGGCGGAAGCCUGAACCAGCCAUGCCGCGUGCAGGAAGACGGCCCUACGGGUUGUAAACUGCUUUUAUACGGGAAUAAACCCAGAUACGUGUAUCUGGCUGAAUGUACUGGAAGAAUAAGGAUCGGCUAACUCCGUG
rnacentral:rRNA from 1 species